rnacentral:ncRNA from 1 species
GAGAAUGCGUUGACCGGGACGAGUAAUCGCCAAGUGCGCGCCAGAGAGCGGAUUGCCAGCGGCUGAGAGCGACCGCCGCGAACAAGGCGACGAAAACCACCCGGGAGCGGCCGACUGAACGGUUGAGGUGAACCCACGGUUUGCCUCCCAGGGCAGACGAAUCGUCUGCCCACCAACUAAGACGGCCCGGCCAGGCCCCGUUAUCGGCCCAAUCAAGAUCGCCGGACGCUUGCGCCCGGUGAAGUUGGGUGGAACCGCGACCGCCGUCGCCCCAAUA